CAACAUGUUAUGAACACAUAAGCAGAACAUUGUGGGCAAUGGUAUCCUGAGGAUGGGUCAACGCAGAGUACUCUGGCAAGCUUCAUGAUGGCUCAACCUGCAGCCCCUCAAUGCUCUCCUAAAUAUGACUAAGGGGGCACGCCCCUGAAAUGCCGUUGCGGCCAAGGCGUGAACAGGAAGAAUAUCUCAGCUCAUACUAGUCUGUAUCUGCUAUCAAGCUUGUUGUUACAGAUUGUAUAAGAAGUCUUGCAAUAAAAAGAAAAAGAAAGCAUGAAGUGAACUUCGUAAUCAUGUUCCGUGGCUGUAGUAGCUUUGGGCUGCUCUUGUUCCUGUGACUUGCCCCCUGUGUGCCAAGUUGGACUUUGCUUAUUGAAUAGGCCCAAUGGUUUGUUUUGCAGCUCAACACAUCCCUCUUUUUCAAGCAGAGUGAUCACCAUCCUUAUAAGGUUCUUGUGUAAUUCAGUUUGUGGAUCACCUCACAUUGUAUCUGGUGAGUGUUAAUGAUUUUAGCCAAGAUUGUAUAUGGUGGACCUAACUGUACCCACUUCUACAACUUAGCUUCUUAUGAUUUACCCGCCAGAAACUUGAGUGAAAUAUGUAGUACACAAAGAGGUUACUUUAAAUGUAUUUGACAUAUUUACAGAAAUAUAUCAGCAGGUAAAAAACUGAUUAAGGGUCUAUUUACACGUACAGUCUCCGGCACAUAUUUGAUGCUGCAGAUUUGAAGCUGUGUUCACUCAUUUAGUUUACAUUGAAAUCUGCAGCAUAAAAUAUGUGUGUGUGAAUAGUAUGUGUAUGUGUGAAUAGACCCUAAAUAUAACAGUAUUGACAAUAUGUAAAAAGGUUUACCCAUCCUAUAAAAAUUGAUGGGCUUAUCCUGAGGAUAUCAGGUCAGCAGGGGUUCGACUCCCAAACAAUCAGCUAUGUGAAGGGGGCUACAGUGGUUGUGCGAGCAUUGCAGCCUCUUUACUACUGCUCGUCUUUGCCAUCGUUAUAAGUAUUGGCUGUGCAAGGAUCUAGUGAAUUGGAACAACGCUGCAGUUUCUUGCACCACUGCAAAUAAAAGUGUGACAAAAGCAAGGUCCAGUGCAGGUAAAUGGUGGUUGAGUCACUUGUAUUAGCACCAAAGUCUCUUCAAACAGCUGUUCGGUGGGAGUGCUGGAAGUUCUUGUUCUAAAUAUCUGAAGCAUAGGCUGACAAUUUUUAUAUACUCGCAGCAGGGAGGGGAGGAAUUACAAAGUUGACUCGAAGUACGGUACUUCACUUACAUGAAAAGCAUGUCACAAACAAAGUAAAAACAUCUUUUAAAAAAUCAGGCCAAAAAAACAUGGGCACAUGUAAAAAUUAAUAAAUGACCUACAUAAAGGUUGCCUUUAUAAGUACAAAAAAGCUUAACGAGUCUCAGUAAAUGAUCACAUCU